rnacentral:rRNA from 1 species
AAUGAACGCUGGCGGCAUGCCUAACACAUGCAAGUCGAACGACACCUCCGGGGCUAGUGGCUCAUGGGUGCGUAACGCGGGGGAACCUAUCCUUAGGUUCGGAAUAACUCCCCGGAGGGGGUGCUAAUACCGGAGAAUUUCUACGGACCAAAGGUUUAGCGCCUUUGGAUGGGCCCGCGUGGGAUUACCUAGUUGGUAUGGAAAAAGCCUACCUAGGCGACGAUCGAUAGCUGGGCUGAGAGGAACAUCAGCCACACUGGGAGUAGGACACAGCCCAGACUCCUACGGGAGGCAGCAGUGGGGAAUAUUGGAAAAUCGGGGGAAGCAUGAUCCAGCACUGCCGCGUGAGUGAUGAAGGCCUUAGGGUUGUACAGCUCUUUUACCCGGGAUGAUAAUGACAGUACCGGGAGAAUAAGCUCCGGCUAACUCCGUG